ACGGAAGGCAGCAGUAGGGAAUCUUCGGCAAUGGGGGCAACCCUGACCGAGCAACGCCGCGUGAGUGAAGAAGGUUUUCGGAUCGUAGAGCUCUGUUGUAAGAGAAGAACGUGUGUGAGCGUGGAAAGUUCACACAGUGACGGUAACUUACCAGAAAGGGACGGCUAACUACGUGCCAGCAGCCGCGGUAAUACGUAGGUCCCGAGCGUUGUCCGGAUUUAUUGGGCGUAAAGCGAGCGCAGGCGGUUUAAUAAGUCUGAAGUUAAAGGCAGUGGCUUAACCAUUGUUCGCUUUGGAAACUGUUAGACUUGAGUGCAGAAGGGGAGAGUGGACUUCCAUGUGUAGCGGUGAAAUGCGUAGAUAUAUGGAGGAACACCGGUGGCGAAAUCGGCUCUCUGGUCUGUAACUGACGCUGAGGCUCGAAAGCGUGGGGAGCAAACAGGAUUAGAUACCCUGGUA
rnacentral:rRNA from 1 species